rnacentral:rRNA from 1 species
GAUGAACGCUGGCGGCGUGCCUAAUACAUGCAAGUCGAGCGAACGGACGAGAAGCUUGCUUCUCUGAUGUUAGCGGCGGACGGGUGAGUAACACGUGGAUAACCUACCUAUAAGACUGGGAUAACUUCGGGAAACCGGAGCUAAUACCGGAUGAUAUUUUGAACCGCAUGGUUCAAAAGUGAAAGACGGUCUUGCUGUCACUUAUAGAUGGAUCCGCGCUGCAUUAGCUAGUUGGUAAGGUAACGGCUUACCAAGGCAACGAUGCAUAGCCGACCUGAGAGGGUGAUCGGCCACACUGGAACUGAGACACGGUCCAGACUCCUACGGGAGGCAGCAGUAGGGAAUCUUCCGCAAUGGGCGAAAGCCUGACGGAGCAACGCCGCGUGAGUGAUGAAGGUCUUCGGAUCGGAAAACUCUGUUAUUAGGGAAGAACAUAUGUGUAAGUAACUGUGCACAUCUUGACGGUACCUAAUCAGAAAGCCACGGCUAACUACG